GAUAAACGCUGGCGGCGUGCUUUAUGCAUGCAAGUCGAACGGUCCCGAUUUAUCGGGAUAGUGGCGGACGGGUGAGUAACGCGUAAGUAACCUGCCCCUAAGUAGGGGAUAACUCUGAGAAAUCGGAGCUAAUACCGUAUGUGGUGCUGGAGGUAAUGCUCCAUCACUAAAGCCUUCGGGCGCUUAGGGAGGGGCUUGCGUCCGAUUAGCUAGUUGGUAGAGUAAUGGUCUACCAAGGCAGUGAUCGGUAGCUGGUCUGAGAGGAUGGUCAGCCACACUGGGAUUGAGAUACGGCCCAGACUCCUACGGGAGGCAGCAGCAAGGAAUCUUGUGCAAUGGGCGAAAGCCUGACAUAGCGACGCCGCGUGGGGGAUGAAGGCUUUCGGGUUGUAAACCCCUUUUCUCAGGGAGGAAUAAUGACAGUACCUGAGGAAUAAGCCAUGGCUAACUACGUGCCAGCAGCCGCGGUAAUACGUAGGUGGCAAGCGUUAUCCGGAUUUAUUGGGUGUAAAGAGGGCGCAGGCGGCUUUUCAAGUCGGAUGUAAAAUCUCCCAGCUUAACUGGGAGGGAUCAUUCGAUACUGUUAAGCUAGAGGACAACAGGGGGAGGUAGAAUUCCCGGUGUAGUGGUGGAAUGCGUAGAUAUCGGGAGGAAUACCAGUGGCGAAGGCGGCCUCCUGGGUUGUUACUGACGCUUAUGCCCGAAGGCGUGGGGAGCAAACAGGAUUAGAUACCCUGGUAGUCCACGCUGUAAACUAUGGAUACUAGGUAUAGGGAGUAUCGACCCUCUCUGUGCCGAAGCUAACGCGUUAAGUAUCCCACCUGGGAACUACGGCCGCAAGGCUAAAACUCAAAGGAAUUGACGGGGGCCC
rnacentral:rRNA from 1 species